AUUGUUCUCCUGCAUACUUAUUAUUAUUAUUAUUAAUGGUGCUUGCCAAAGGCAAAGCAUCAUUAUUGUUCUCCUGCAUACUUAUUAAUGGUGCUUGCCAAAGGCAAAGCAUCAUUAUUGUUCUCCUGCAUACUUAUUAUUAUUAUUAUUAAUGGUGCUUGCCAAAGGCAAAGCAUCAUUAUUGUUCUCCUGCAUACUUAUUAUUAUUAAUGGUGCUUGCCAAAGGCAAAGCAUCAUUAUUGUUCUCCUGCAUACUUAUUAUUAUUAAUGGUGCUUGCCAAAGGCAAAGCAUCAUUAUUGUUCUCCUGCAUACUUAUUAUUAUUAUUAAUGGUGCUUGCCAAAGGCAAAGCAUCAUUAUUGUUCUCCUGCAUACUUAUUAUUAUUAUUAAUGGUGCUUGCCAAAGGCAAAGCAUCAUUAUUGUUCUCCUGCAUACUUAUUAAUGGUGCUUGCCAAAGGCAAAGCAUCAUUAUUGUUCUCCUGCAUACUUAUUAUUAUUAAUGGUGCUUGCCUCUGGCAAAGCAUCAUUAUUGUUCUCCUGCAUACUUAUUAAUGGUGCUUGCCUCUGGCAAAGCAUCAUUAUUGUUCUCCUGCAUACUUAUUAUUAUUAUUAUUAUUAUUAAUGGUGCUUGCCAAAGGCAAAGCAUCAUUAUUGUUCUCCUGCAUACUUAUUAAUGGUGCUUGCCAAAGGCAAAGCAUCAUUAUUGUUCUCCUGCAUACUUAUUAUUAUUAUUAUUCUUCUUCUUCUGGACAAAACUUCGGCGCGUAACUUGUCCCGCAGUUUUUGUCCUAGACCCAUGAAUGAGGUGUCAAAUCGACCGGCUCAUUGAGGAGAGGUGUGCUAUGACUUUUAUAAGCGAUCGGCCCAACGAUGUUCGCACAGGGGGCGAAAAAGCGGCCAAAAAAGUCCCAUUGACUUUCAAUGGCGGAAUGUUCAGAAAUUUGAAUCUCAACUGUCACUUUCUCACACACGCACACACACGCAGGGCCUUAGAACCCUUUCUGUCACUCACUCACAUCUCUCACUAUUGAUCACAGUGUCAUAGAGACAAGGGGGCGGGCUCAUUUCACUCAGGCAACCAAUCAGUCUCUCAGGAUCAAUGUGACGCUAUUAAGCCACGCCCUAGCAACCAUAUAGAGCACCAUAGCAACAGGUUCCAUAGACUUCCAUUCAAAAAGAUCAAAGAUAUUCCUUUGGAUAGAAGUGUCAUAGGAACAUGAGGGUGGGCUCAUUUGACUCAGGACAGCAAACGGCCAAUCACGAAUCACCUUCAAGACUUCAUAGCCACGCCCUAGCAACCAUUUAGAGCACCCUAGCAACCCAAAGCAUAGAGGGAUAUCUUCAAAUCUGAAUAUCAUAGAGGCAUGGGGGUUGGUUUAUAUCAUUCAUACUGGCAAGCAGCCUUUGGAGUAUCAUCAUUGGUAGCUGCCAAGCCACUCCCUAGCAACCAAAUAGAGUACCCUAGCAACCGUUUUGCAAGACCUAUAUCUCUGCAUCAGAACAUCGUAGAGACAUGGCGGUUGGCUUAUAUUGGCAAGCAGCCUUUGGUGUAUCAUCAUUGGCAGCUGCUAAGCCACUCCCUAGCAACCAAACAGAGUACCCUAGCAACCGUUUAGCAAGACCUAUAUCUCUGUAUCAGAGCAUCGUAGAGACAUGGCGGUUGGCUCUUUUGACUCAUGCUAGCAAACUGGACUUCCAACAUGCUACACAUGCUAGCAGUGAAUAGCUACAUGCUAAUAGUGAUUAGCUAAGUGCUAAAGUGUCUAAGAACAUGCUAAGAACUCUAUAAAAACACCAUAGUAACCAUCUGUGACAACUACCAACCACCUAGUAACAUCAUAGCAACCACCUAGGUUACCAUAGCAACUGCCUAGCAACCACUCAUUACACCCUAGCAACCGCCUAGCAACACCUUAGCAACUGCCCCAAGUACCUUACAACUGCCUAGCAACCGCCUAGCAACCACCCAGGUUACCAUAGCAACCGCCUAGCAACCACCCAGAACACCCUAGCAACCGCCUAGCAACACCUUAGCAACCGCCCCAAGUACCUUACCAACUGCCUAGCAACCGCCUAGCAACCACCCAGGUUACCAUAGCAACCGCCUAGCAAACACCCAGAACACCCUAGCAACCGCCUAGCAACACCUUAGCAACCACCCCAAGUACCUUAGCAACUGCCUAGCAACCGCCUAGCAACCACCCAGGUUACCAUAGCAACCACCUAGCAACCACCCAGAACACCCUAGCAACCGCCUAGCAACACCUUAGCAACCA